rnacentral:rRNA from 1 species
UAGCAUAUCAAUAAGCGGAGGAAAAGAAACCAACAGGGAUUGCCUCAGUAACGGCGAGUGAAGCGGCAACAGCUCAAAUUUGAAAUCUGGCCUCUGGCCCGAGUUGUAAUUUGUAGAGGAUGCUUUUGGUGAGGUGCCUUCCGAGUUCCUUGGAACAGGACGCCAUAGAGGGUGAGAGCCCCGUCUGGUUGGACACCGAUCCUCUGUAAAGCUCCUUCGACGAGUCGAGUAGUUUGGGAAUGCUGCUCUAAAUGGGAGGUAUAUGUCUUCUAAAGCUAAAUACCGGCCAGAGACCGAUAGCGCACAAGUAGAGUGAUCGAAAGAUGAAAAGCACUUUGAAAAGAGGGUUAAACAGUACGUGAAAUUGUUGAAAGGGAAGCGCUUGUGACCAGACUUGGGCUUGGUCAAUCAUCCAGUGUUCUUCACUGGUGCACUUGGCCGGCCUAGGCCAGCAUCAGUUCGGCGCGGGGGACAAAGGCUUCGGGAAUGUGGCUCCCCCGGGAGUGUUAUAGCCCGUUGUGUAAUGCCCUGCGCCGGACUGAGGUUCGCGCAUCUGCAUGGAUGCUGGCGUAAUGGUCAUCAGCGACCCGUCUUGAAACACGGACCAAGGAGUCGUCUUCGUAUGCGAGUGUUCGGGUGUUAAACCCCUACGCGGAAUGAAAGUGAACGCAGGUGAGAGCUUCGGCGCAUCAUCGACCGAUCCUGAUGUUCUCGGAUGGAUUUGAGUAAGAGCAUACGGGGCCGGACCCGAAAGAAGGUGAACUAUGCCUGUAUAGGGUGAAGCCAGAGGAAACUCUGGUGGAGGCUCGCAGCGGUUCUGACGUGCAAAUCGAUCGUCAAAUAUGGGCAUGGGGGCGAAAGACUAAUCGAACCUUCUAGUAGCUGGUUUCCGC